rnacentral:sRNA from 1 species
AUGAGGUCGGACGCAUCCACCUUGUGAACGCCGUCGCGGAACUUGCCGUAGAAGCGGUCAGAAUCGA